CCUACGGGAGGCAGCAGUAGGGAAUUUUCCACAAUGAGCGAAAGCUUGAUGGAGCGACACAGCGUGCAGGAUGAAGGUUUUCGAAUCGUAAACUGCUGUUAUAAGGGAAGAAAAACUUGGAUAGGAAAUGAUUCAAACUUGACGGUACCUUAUUAGAAAGUGACGGCUAACUAUGUGCCAGCAGCCGCGGUAAUACAUAGGUCACAAGCGUUAUCCGGAAUUAUUGGGCGUAAAGCGUUCGUAGGCGGUUUGUUAAGUCUAGAGUUAAAGACUGGGGCUCAACCCCAGCCCGCUCUGGAUACUGACUGACUAGAGUUACAUAGAGGUAAGUGGAAUUCUUAGUGGAGCGGUGGAAUGCGUAGAUAUUAGGA
rnacentral:rRNA from 1 species